UGAGCCUCUGAAUUAGCUGAAUCAGGCGA
rnacentral:piRNA from 1 species